rnacentral:rRNA from 2 species
AACUUUCAACAACGGAUCUCUUGGUUCUGGCAUCGAUGAAGAACGCAGCGAAAUGCGAUAAGUAAUGUGAAUUGCAGAAUUCAGUGAAUCAUCGAAUCUUUGAACGCACAUUGCGCCCCUUGGCAAUCCGAGGGGCAUACCUGUCCGAGCGUCAUCG